UGGAAACAGAAAAUAUCAAUAAGGUGGGCCAUCUAUUGGUACGUUUUUGAAUUUCGUCGUAUGGCAACACCAAACGAGCUACAGACCCGAAAUUUUGACAGUUUAUUAGUCAUACCGUCCGCGGCACGAAACAACAUGUUUUCUCUUGAAGAGCGUUUUGAAAUUUUAAAAACUUAUUUUCAAAGUCAGUGCUGUGUCGCCGAAACUGUACGAAUUUUGAAAAGAAAUAUGGGUCGUGAUAGAGCACCCACCGAAGGAGCUAUACGCAAAUUGGUGAGGAAAGUUCGUGAGAAAGGGAUGUUAGUGGAUGACAGAAGUG